CCCUUAGAUGUUCUGGGCGGCCCGCGCACUACAAUGGCGUGUGCAGCGAGUGCCGAAGUAGAGUUUUCCGAGGUAUUCUUGCAAUGCUCGUUUUGAUGGGGAUAGACCCUUGCAACUGUUGGUUUUGAACGAGGAAUUCCUUGUAAGCAUGGUUUAUCAUCCGACGCUGAAUGCGUCCCUGCCCUUUGUACACACCGCCCGUCGCUCCUACCGAUGAGUCGUCCGGUGAGCUCUUCGGACUGCGCGGUCUGCAGUUUCUGCGUUCCGUGCGGAAAGUUGCGCAAACCUUAACAUUUAGAGGAAGGAGAAGUCGUAACA
rnacentral:rRNA from 1 species